GCCGAUAUAGUGCAGAGGUUAGCAUGCUCCCUUCCCACUGCGCACCUGUCGCCUUGUAGGUUUCCUCCCGUACUUGCUCGCAACUACCUGGACCUACAAGCGCCCAAGUGAGGGAGAGACACCAGUUCGAACCUGGUUAUCGGCA